UACGUAGGGUGCGAACGUUGUCCGGAUUUAUUGGGCGUAAAGAGCUCGUAGGCGGCUCAGCAAGUCGGCCGUGAAAGUCCGGGGCUCAACCCCGGGACGCCGGUCGAAACUGCUGUGGCUAGGGUCCGGUAGAGGAGAGUGGAAUUCCCGGUGUAGCGGUGAAAUGCACAGAUAUCGGGAGGAACACAAGUAGCGAAGGCGGCUCUCUGGGCCGGUACCGACGCUGAGGAGCGAAAGCUAGGGGAGCAAACAGG
rnacentral:rRNA from 1 species